UGAUAUCCAAAUCUUCGGGUUCCAGACGAUCAGGUAUGUUAUUCGCAUGAUCUGCAAUAACAGCGUCGGUGUACUCUAGGAUUGAUAGCGUCUCUAAUCCACUCUUGUUAUGUGCCAUAGUAAUCUUGCUGUUGCCAGAAAUAGGGGAAGUUGUAUUAGAUAGUGUUAAGCAUUAAGUUUAUCUGUACAACUUACCUCUAGUUGAGACGAUUGAAGAAUGACGACCAAGUGGUCACUUACAGGUCAUUUUAUUCAGAUUUCAAGUGAAUUAUUUUACUUGAAAUUUGAGGUUCGUCCAGCGACACAACCUGGUACGAGGGAGGCCUUCAAUUAUAUGCCCGAAGGUUAAUCUCGUGGCGAGUUAGAGUAACGUCUAACCGUCGUAACGUGCGGAAAGGUGUGGGUCACUAAUAGUGGCUUAAGGAACGUACUAAUCCCCCCGAAAGGGUGUCUAUACAAUAAGUGCUGUAACACAAGGUGUAUAGAGAUCAUUGAACUAACAGGAAAUGGUUAGGGAGAUCGGUAUCAAUGGCCAGCAGCCGCGGUAAUUCCAGCUCCAAUAGCGUAUACUAAAUUUGUUGCAGUUAAAAAGCUCGUAGUUAAGGUUGAAAUCUUUCGGAUUAAAAGAGUUACUCUUACCAAAGAGUUCUCCUUAGAUCAUUACUUAAUCUAAUUAAGUUAAUCGAUCACCGAAGAUUUUUUUUAAGGUUACUUUAUAGGCAACUAUAAUUUAAACCAAUCCACUGUGAGAAAAUUGUAGUGUUUAAAGCAAGCUUUUAUGCUUGUUCAAUGCAGCAUGGUAUGGUAAAAUAGGACACUUAACAUUUGUUGGUUUAUCAAUUGUUUAAGUGUAAUGACUAAUAGGGAAAGUCGGGGCCGUUCAUAUUGAUGGGCGAGAGGUGAAAUUCGUUGACCCUAUCAAGAUGCACUACAGCGAAAGCAUUCGGCAAGUAUUUCUCCAUUAAUCAAGAACGAAAGUUUGGGGAUCGAAGACGAUCAGAUACCGUCGUAGUCCAAACCAUAAACGAUGUCGACCAGAGAUUGGGUAGACAAUAAAUAUAAAUGCAUUCAGAACCUUGUGAGAAAUCAUGAGUGUUUGGACUCUGGGGGGAGUAUGGUCGCAAGGCUGAAACUUAAAGGAAUUGACGGAAGGGCACACAAUGGAGUGGAACCUGCGGCUUAAUUUGACUCAACUCGGGAAAACUUACCAAGCUCAGAUAUAAUAAGGAUUGACAGACUAAAAGAUCUUUCAUGAUUGUAUAAGUGGUGGUGCAUGGUCGUUCUUAGUUGGUGGAGUGAUUUGUCUGGUCAAUUCCGAUAACGGACGAGACGUCUACUUACUAACUAGUGGGAUUUAUCUAGUCAAUUUGGAGGAUAGGUUUUUAGUGUUUCUAUUCAAGUCUUUCGGGGUUUGGUAGUUCAUUGAAGGCUGUGUACUCUGAUUAGAUAGGUUCUAGUAAAAACAUAAACUUCUUAGAAGGACUACCUACCUCAAGUGGGGGGAAGUUGGACGCAAUAACAGGUCUGUGAUGCCCUUAGAUACCUUGGGCUGCACGCGCGUUACAAUGUAACAGAGAAAAAGGCUUUCCAUGUCUGGAAAGACAUGGUAAUCAAUUGAAUCUACUACGUAAUAGGGAUUGAUCUUUGUAAUUAUCGAUCAUCAACGAGGAAUUCCUUGUAAGCGUAAGUCAUUACCUUACGCUGAAUAUGUCCCUGCCCUUUGUACACACCGCCCGUCGCUCCUACCGAUCGAACGAUUAGGUAAAAUUGACAGAUUUGAUUUAAAGCAGCAAUGUUAUUAAAUCUUAGAAGUUAUUUAAAUCUCAUUGUUUAGAGGAAGGAGAAGUCGUAACAAGGUAUCCGUAGGUGAACCUGCGGAUG
rnacentral:rRNA from 1 species